rnacentral:rRNA from 1 species
AUUGAACGCUGGCGGCAGGCUUAACACAUGCAAGUCGAGCGGGGUGAUGGUGCUUGCACUAUCACUUAGCGGCGGACGGGUGAGUAAUGCUUAGGAAUCUGCCUAUUAGUGGGGGACAACAUCUCGAAAGGGCUGCUAAUACCGCAUACGUCCUACGGGAGAAAGCAGGGGAUCACUUGUGACCUUGCGCUAAUAGAUGAGCCUAAGUCGGAUUAGCUAGUUGGUGGGGUAAAGGCCUACCAAGGCGACGAUUUGUAGCGGGUCUGAGAGGAUGAGCCGCCACACUGGGACUGGGACACGGCCCAGACUCCUACGGGGGGCAGCAGUGGGGAAUAUUGGACAAUGGGGGGAACCCUGAUCCAGCCAUGCCGCGUGUGUGAAGAAGGCCUUAUGGUUGUAAAGCACUUUAAGCGAGGAGGAGGCUCUUUUGGUUAAUACCCAAGAUGAGUGGACGUUACUCGCAGAAUAAGCACCGGCUAACUCUGUGCCAGCCGCCGCAGUAA